CAGUCGCCGCGGGAAUACCGAGGGUGCAAGCGUUAAUCGGAAUUACUGGGCGUAAAGCGCGCGUAGGUGGUUUGUUAAGUUGGAUGUGAAAGCCCCGGGCUCAACCUGGGAACUGCAUCCAAAACUGGCAAGCUAGAGUACGGUAGAGGGUGGUGGAAUUUCCUGUGUAGCGGUGAAAUGCGUAGAUAUAGGAAGGAACACCAGUGGCGAAGGCGACCACCUGGACUGAUACUGACACUGAGGUGCGAAAGCGUGGGGAGCAAACAGGAUUAGAUACCCCCGUAGUCCCUGUCUCUUAUAC
rnacentral:rRNA from 1 species